rnacentral:rRNA from 1 species
CGUGUAGGCGGCUUGGCAAGUCGGAUGUGAAAGCCCCGGGCUCAACCUGGGAAUUGCAUUCGAAACUGGAUAGCUAGAGUUUGGUAGAGGUAAGUGGAAUUCCGGGUGUAGCGGUGAAAUGCGUAGAUAUCCGGAGGAACAUCAGUGGCGAAGGCGGCUUACUGGACCAGAACUGACGCUGAGGCUCGAAAGCGUGGGGAGCAAACAGGAUUAGAUACCCUGGUAGUCC